GGAGAAAAAAAGGAAAAAGUAAAAACAGAAACAGGCAAAAAAAAUUGGGAGAGAAAAGGAGUAGAGAAAAAAGAAAAAUGAAAAUAAAAAAAUAAACAAAAUGAAAAAAAGAGAAGUCAAAAUCCAACUAGCUAGGGUCAAAGGCCGACAGGUCACCAAAGCUUCCUGGGCUGUAAAGACCAAACACCCAGCCGAGCCAGGGUCUUAUAUAGACAGGUCUUGCCAUGACUUCACAAUGGGGCUUUGUGAGGGCACAGCAAGAAAUGGGCCAAUUAUGCAAUCAUGGCUGGGGAUGUCUGAGACCACAGUGGUUUCCUCACUUUUUAUUCCCAAAACCCCUUUACUCAAUAAAAAAAAAGACCCCCAAUGGGCUUUUUGUUUGUUUGUGUGGGCUUUUCAAGAUUGAUAUUUACUUUGUUAGAAAUCAAAAUCUAUAAGAUGGUUCAGUGGCCUUUCACUUCAAGUUUAGAAAACUGUAAUUUUGGCUUGUAUAGACCUCGUAAUGUCUACACGUAAAAUACCCAGUUCCUGGUCUCAAAAUGGUGCUACAACAUAUAAGGAAAUGUUGUGUUGUGUACAACACGAUAAGGCUCAUUAUUAACAUCUAUAAAGCUCAGAGGAAGAUUGCUUUUCAUCAUAUUUUCACUGAUAAGGUUGUGAGGAGAUUUCUCAUCAGAAACCUUGGAGGCUAGAAGGCAUGGGUUGAUGUGUUUAAAGCACUGAAGGAAAAAAGCUGUCAAGCAAGAAUCCUACAUUUGGGAAAACUGUCCUUCAAAAAUGAGGAAGAAAUGAAGACAUUCCCAGAUCAACCAAAGCUGAAAGCCUUGCCCUGAUGACUAGACCGGCCCUGCAGUGAAGGGGGUCCUUCAGGUUGAAAUGAAAGGGCACUGAACAAGUAACUCGAAGCCUUCUGAAGAGAUAAUCUCCGGUAAAGGUAAACAGACAGACAAUUAUGAACGCUAGUACUGUUAUGACUUUGGUCUGUAGCUCUACUUUUUGUUCUCUAUGUUAAGAGACUGAUAUAUUUAAAAACCUAAUUAUUCAUCUAUGCUUUUGGACACAAGAUGCAUAAAGAUGUGAUUUUGUGACAUUAACAACUGACAGAAGGUGGGGUCAGGGCUUUAAAGUAGCUGAGUUUUCAUGUGUUAUUGAGGUUAAGCUGGUAUAAAUUGACACUACAAUGUUGUAACUUUAGGAUGUUAAAAGCAAUCCCAUGGUAACCACACACAACCACACACACACACACACACACACACGCCACAGAACAUACACAAAAGGAAAUGAGAAGGGAAUUAAAAUGUUUCACUACAAAAAAAAAUCAACUAAAUGCAAAAGAAGAUAGUCAUGCAGAAAAUUUGAGACAGAAAGCAAUUAAGGCAUAUAGAAAACAAAGAGCAAACCACAGAAGGAAUUCCUUCCUUAUCAGUAAUGACUUUAAAUGUAAGCAGAUUAAACAGAUUAGUGAAAUGGAUAAAAACAUAGGAUCCAACUCUCUGUUACCUACAAGGGACUCAGAUCCAAAGACACAAAAAAGUUGAACGUGAAAGGAAGGAAAAAGAUAAUCCAUGCAAAUAGUAGCCAAAAGAAAGGGUGGAGUGGCUGUAAUAAUACCAGACAGAACAGACGUUAAAUCGGAAAAUGUUACAAGAGACAAAGAAGGACAUUUUAUAUGAAUUAAGAGGUUCAGUACAGCAAGAAGAAAAGAUGAUAAACAUUUACACACAUAAUGAGAGGCCAUUAUCGACAGAACUGAAGGGAAAAAUAGUUGUAUAAUAAUCGUUGGAGCCUUCCAUAUCCCACUGUCAAUAACGGACAGGACAACCAGACAGAAGGUAAGUAAGGACACAGAGGAUUUGAAGAACACCAUAGCCCAGCCAGAUCUAACAGACGGGCACGGGACCCCACCCAACAAUAACGGCACGCGGGACCUUCUCUGAGACAGUCUUUGCAUUAGGUCACGAGUUAAGUCUCAGUAGAUUUUACAAGAUAGAUAUCAUACAAAGUAUCUUUUCCAACCACAAGAAGAUGAAGUCAGAAAUGGGUAACAGAAGGAAGAGUGGAAAAUUUAAACAGCUGUGAAAACUGAAAACACACUCUCAAAGAACCAAUGUGUCGAAGAAGAAAUCACAGUGGAAUGCGAACAUACGUAGAGGUGAAGGGAAAUGAAACACGACGCGUCAAAACUCCUGGAAAACAACAAAGCAGUGGCGAGGGGGAAAUUUAUAGCUGUAAACGCUCACAGUAAACAUCAAGACAGAUCUUAAAUCAACACCAUAGACGUGCAACUUAAGAAACUAGAAAAAGCCAAAGGUAGCAAAGGGAAGGACAUAAUAAAGAUUAGAGCGGAGAUAAAUGAAACAGAGGCUAGAAAAACGAAAGAGAUAAUCAAUGGACCCAAGAGCUGGUCCUUUGAAAACACCAAACUGCUAGCCGGAUUGCCGGUGGAGGCAGAGAAGACUCAAUGACUGCAUUGCCACUGACUCCUUACAGACGUAGAAAGGGUUAGAGUGCUAUCAACAAGUGUAUUCCAGCUAAUUGGAGAAUCCAGAUACAAUGGACCAAUUUCUAGACCUAGAAAACCUACCAAGACUAAAUCACAAAGAAAGAGAAAAUCGGAAGAGAUUCGUACAUAACUAGGGAGGAGCCUGAGGCUGUAAUCGAAGAUCACUUGACCAAAAAAAGCCCCGGAUCUGACAGCCUCACUGGUGAAUUCUACCAAACAUUGGAAGAAUUGACACCAAUCUUCUCAAACUCUUCCAAAAAAUUCAGGAGAAAGAACACUUCCCAACUAAUUCUAUCAGGCCGGCAUUGAUUUGAUGCACCCUAAAUAUCUCUGGGCCACCUUCCAGACAGUCACCAGAGGAGUUUUCUAAAAUAUCCAGCCAGAUGAGUUAUUUUCUCAGCGACAAAAGAGACCUUUCUCUGGUCUGUGGAAAGAGAGGACCAGCAGUGUCUCCAGAAUCAGGCUGAACAUCUAUGGACCUCUUCUGAGAGCCUCCGUCCACAACGGAUGGGCCACACCGCAGACUGGACACAGCUGAAGCGGGGCAGGGGGUGGGGUGGGGAGGGGAGAAUUCACGGAGGUAACCUGGGCUUCAAUUGGUCUGUCAGCUGCUUUGACUGCUUUGGGCAUCUUUGAAUACAACAAGCCAUGCCCUCGUUGGACACUGGGAAAGGACAAUCUAUCUGCACAUCCAGCCCUAUGGGCUGGAGUCUCCCAAACGAGGCCAUCGUUUGUUUUGGCAACUCUGCUCCACCACAACAUUCAUCAGACUCCUGAGAAAGACGACCGAUGAAGGGAUCCAUAAAUGGUUUCCAGUUUUCUCCCACCGUGUUGACUGGAAGCCCUGAGAACGAACACUGCUUUUCCCUGAAGCCCCGCAAACCGAAGCCAGGCCAGCCGAGGUACACGUGAGAGAAAAGUGGCCCGGUGAUCUAAGGGCCACUCAGAAAGAUCACCAGAGACACACGGAAAGCUGAACAAGCUGAUCGCAGCCAUCCCGACUGGACAAGCUGCCAUCGGAGCAUCCAGACGUGGACGUGUUCACGGAUGGGGACAGUGUCACGGGUCAAAGACAAGGAAGAGCUGGGAGCAGUGGUGACCCAUCAGCUACCGUCCGCUGCGGAAGACGCCACAAAGUGGACCGACUGCCCAAGGGAACCAUGCUGGCAGCCCGUCAAAGACUCCAAGACCCUCUGGAAGAGCUCUCGUGCCAAAGAUAGACUUAACUACAUAUCAACCCCAACGUCCCUUGGAGGACCAAAGAGGAGUUAAGUAAGGAGUGGGGGUUUGGACACCGUGCUGGCCUUGACACCGGCUGGAAAUAGAAGGAAUCCUUACCCUAGAGCAUCUGAUGAAAGAAAUAAUUAGCCACAUUCCUCGAAGCACCCGUUAUGGGAAAGAUGCCCCUCUUCAGUGGAUCCAGAAGUAUACUGCGGGCUCCGGUUUCAGCGAAAUGCUACAAAAGGCAACGCUUGUGCUAAAAACAACCCUAAGACUGGGUGCCCACAAGUUCUCAAGGGUAUACAACUGAGACGCCCCAAACCUGGGGAAGACCGGCACGCAGCCUUUCCCAGAAUGCAAAGAACAAUGGGAAAUUCUCGGGGUUUGCUUGUAUCUGCAGACACCUUUAUCAACGGGGUUGAGGUUCCUCCCUGGUGUUCAGAGAAGGCCUCGGGAGUUGUCAAAAUGCUUUGAAGCGAGAUCAUUUCUAGGUUUGGACUGCCGCUAAUAAUUCAGAGGGACAGUGGAGUGACAACCACAGAGUCCAAGGCCUUGGGCAUUCAGUGGAAAUCACACGCUUCCUGGAGACACCGAGAGAGUGGAAAAAGGGGGAAAAAAUGAACUUUGGCAAAGCUCUGCCAAGAAACCCACUUCACUUGGGAACAACCCGUGCCAUCUGCCCUGCUUUGGGAAAGAGUGGUCCCUAGAAGAGGGCUUGGUUUAAGCCCCUGUGGAAUGUCAUAUGCAAGACUUUCUAUGUUCUUUUCGUGACCUAGGAGGUGCUGGCGGGGCUCCCACCAGCGAUUUGGAUACUAUCAGGUACAUCCAGGGCCUGAGUUUGCUUCCGGCAGGCUGAUGUACCUCACAGAUGUGUCUUCACGCUGCCUGAAUCCCUUGGUGACAUCCAAAGGUGUCACUCAAGAUGUCACUAAAGACCUGAAGAGCGGGAGCCCAGAGGACCAGCUCCAGCCUCACUGUCCAGGUCAGACCCUGCGAGGUGCCGUUGACCCCCCACUCCCCCGAGACUACAGGGAAUUGAGCCGUGGAUUCACACUUGAAUGACAAGAAUCCACAGGUUCCCUACACCUGUCAGCAGGGAGGAGGUCGAAAGGGACCCGGCUCAGACCAGUGAGCCUCUGCUGGACCUGAACCUCCGACGUGGGGGAACUGGUACAAGGGAAUCAAGCCAUGAGGACAACAUGCUGCCUGUUGUUCUCUAGUACCCCUAAAGCCCUAGACACAACAUGGUACAGGAACUAUUGACCAAAGUACAAAAAUCCCGGUAAUGCAGGCCAUUCCUUUCCACCCCAAAGUUUCCCCUUGUCUAACCCCAGUCUCCACCCCACCUCAGCAGGAAGUAACGGCCGCGGCCGGGUGGUGGUCCCAAUACCCACAAGAAUGCGGACGGAUCAAAAGACCCUGGGGACUGAAAAGGGUAACCAAAGGGCUAGCAGCCGCAACUCUGUACCCUGACCUUUUUCCUUCGCCACUAAGUACCCCUGACUCUCCUCCUCUAGGGAGGUGGAUGUGAGGCUCGCCCUCCUGCCUCUGGAAUAAACUCUUGCUUUGCUUUA